rnacentral:lncRNA from 1 species
UAAGCCACUACAGGACUGUGAGCAGCACUCCUUCCACAACCAAAACUUCAAGUCACCACACCUUAGGUAGAGUGUGGCCACUUCCUGGGGCACAGUCUUUUUCAUGCUGGUGGUAGCCUGUGUUUGUAGCACUGUCUUCCAAAGAGACCAGCAGACUUGGUUUGAAGGUAUCUUCCUGUCUUCCAUGUGUCCCAUAAAUGUCAGUGCCAGCACCUUGUAUGGAAUUAUGUUUGAUGCAGGAAGCACUGGAACUUGAAUUCAUGUUUACGUCUUCAUGCAGAACAUUCCCGGACAGCUUCCAGUUCUGGAAGGGAAAAAUAUUUAAUUCUGUGAAGCCAGGACUUUCUGCUUUUGUAGAUCAACCUAAGCAGGUGCUGAGAGUAUUGAAGAACUCUUGGAGGUGGCCAAGAUGAAAUUCCCUGAAGUCACUGCACAAGGACCCCAGUGGUCCUGAAGGCAACAGCAGGACUUCGCCUACUGCCAGAACAGAAAGCCCAGGCCCUGCUCUUUGAGGUGGAGGAGAUCUUCAAGAAGCCACCUUUCCUGGUCCCAGAUGACAGUGUUAGCAUCAUGGAUGGAUACUAUGAAGGCAUAUUGGCUUGAGUUACUGUGAAUUUCCUGACAGGUCAGCUACAUGGCCACAGCCAUGUAGAGAGACUGUGGGAACUCUGGACCUGGGUGGGGUGAGGGGUGCUCUACCCAAAUCAUAUUCCUGCCCCAGUUUGAGAAAACCCUGGAACAAAUCCCGAAGGGCUACAUCACUUCCUGUUGGAGGCCGUGAUCAAGUCAAGAUGGCGCCUGGCAGUUUGCCAGGAGGAGUGGUUUGUGAGGCAAUGCCACCAAGCCAUCAAGAUGGUGGGGACUGUUUAUUGGCUGAUUGCUCUAUCUGUAGGGGAGCAAUGCUAUGAUUGGAU